rnacentral:rRNA from 1 species
AUGAACGCUAGCGGCAGGCUUAAUACAUGCAAGUCGUGGGGCAGCGCAGGUAGCAAUACUGGGCGGCGACCGGCAAACGGGUGCGGAACACGUACACAACCUUCCUACAAGUGGGGAAUAGCCCAGAGAAAUUUGGAUUAAUACCCCGUAACAUAGCGAUGUGGCAUCACAUUGUUAUUAUAGCUUCGGCGCUUGUUGAUGGGUGUGCGGCUGAUUAGAUAGUUGGCGGGGUAACGGCCCACCAAGUCUACGAUCAGUAGCUGAUGUGAGAGCAUGAUCAGCCACACGGGCACUGAGACACGGGCCCGACUCCUACGGGAGGCAGCAGUAAGGAAUAUUGGUCAAUGGACGAAAGUCUGAACCAGCCAUGCCGCGUGAAGGAUUAAGGUCCUCUGGAUUGUAAACUUCUUUUAUCUGGGACGAAAAAAGGCGAUUCUUCGUCACUUGACGGUACCAGAUGAAUAAGCACCGGCUAACUCCGUGCCAGCAGCCGCGGUAAUACGGAGGGUGCAAGCGUUAUCCGGAUUCACUGGGUUUAAAGGGUGCGUAGGCGGGCAGGUAAGUCAGUGGUGAAAUCCUAGAGCUUAACUCUAGAACUGCCAUUGAUACUAUCUGUCUUGAAUAUUGUGGAGGUAAGCGGAAUAUGUCAUGUAGCGGUGAAAUGCUUAGAUAUGACAUAGAACACCUAUUGCGAAGGCAGCUUACUACGCAUAUAUUGACGCUGAGGCACGAAAGCGUGGGGAUCAAACAGGAUUAGAUACCCUGGUAGUCCACGCCCUAAACGAUGAUUACUCGACAUUUGUGAUACACUAUAAGUGUCUGAG